ensembl:lncRNA
UGAGGUAGCACAGUUCAACAACACUUUAUUAAUCACACUGGUGCACUAUAUACACGUGAAGGGGGGGGAAACACCAGGGUCCCGGGGAUCACUUGGCUGGGGAGACACACUUCUUCGCACUCGCUCUGCUCCUCGUCCAAACAGUCUCCACACAAGCAGCUCAGCUCACUCUCCUACUCACGGGGUCCAGGGGUCACAAAAGGGCUGAUCCAGGUAAACCUGUUUACACAGACGAGGGUAAGUCGAAGGCAAACACGGGAACAGUAGAAUCGCAAGGAAGCCAGGCAAUACUAACGAGAGUUACUCAAUAUUCCAGCGACGAACAGCUCAGAGCCCCAGCCUUAAGAGCCAGAGAACUGCAAUCCGCUCGAGAUCAGCUGCAGGUGCGUGGGCCAAGGGCAGACAGGUAGGAGAGACAGAGUGAGAGAAAAACAACAAACACUUGUGGCCACACUGGGCUGGCCGGGGAGGCACAGGGACCAUGACACAGGGACUGUUGUAUCAGCUGCUUUUGAGGAUAUACUUAGUGAGGGUAGGAUCCCUGUGAAACUACAAAUAGAUGAAAGCAAAGAGUUUUAUAAUGCAACCUUUAAACAGCUAAUGAAGCGAUAUAAUAUCAAGCAUUUCUCAACAGCUAGCGAGGUUAAAUGCAGUAUUGUCGAGAGAUUCAAUCGUAGCUUCAAGGGUAGAAUGUGGAAGUACUUAACAUCAGCCAACUCCCGGAGAUAUGUAGAUGUCAUACCAGAUCUCACACAAGCAUAUAACAAUGCUUAUCACAGAUCUAUCCAAAUGGCUCCGGCAGAGGUGAAUAAGCAUAAUGAGAAGUCGGUCUUUAACGCGCUGUACAAAACGAGACCUCAGAGGGAACUGCGCUUUAAAUUUAAUAUCGGUGACACUGUACGAAUAUCAAAACUGAGAGGAAAGUUUCGAAAAGGAUACGAGCAGACCUACACCGAUGAGAUUUUCACAGUCAAGGAACGUAUAGGGAGACAGCCCCCAGUGUACAGACUAGUGGAUCUAGCAGGAGAGGUAUUGAAAGGGUCAUUUUAUGAGCCUGAGAUACAACGUGUGGUUGUUGAUGAAAACAAAACAUUUAAAAUUGAAAACAUAUUGGCUAGAAAAAAAGUGGGUCGGAAAAAGCAGGUGCUAGUGAAAUGGCUAGGAUGGCCCAACAGCUUUAAUUCGUGGAUUCCAGAAAAAGACAUCGUUGAGGCGUAAUUAACUCAGAUGACGCAGCUCUACAUACAUUCAUUCAACACUGAGCAUAGACUGAGAAAGCAUGAAUAAAAAGAACAACAAUGCAGGCUUCUAUGUAAGCCUCUUCUCGAAUGCUUCAGCACAUGUUUACCCGGGUAAUAAGAUAUCUAAUUUUAGAACAAAGCUAGCAAAACCUAUUGUUUUGGAUCAGCCGUAUGAGGUCGCUGUUAUAGAGAUACAGUACCCACGCAUAUGGCGGACUUUUCCACAAUCAGAUUCGGAAGUGGAAAUUCAGGACCCAGUCAAAGAUGGAACCUUAGCCGUAACCACGAUCGAACUGUCUGUGGGCCAUUAUGCAUCUGUGGAACAGAUAAUAAAAGAAUUUAAUUUUAAAUGUCAGCAGCACCAAGCCACUGGAGACAUUAAAAUGCAGUACAACGCAGUUAGUAACCAUGCCUGUGUUAUGGGGCCUAGGGGGACUAUUCUCACAUUUAAAGGGAGACUGGCGGAAAUCCUAGGAUUCAAAACAGGAGACCCGUUUGUACUUCAUUAUAAAAACACAUAUGCCCCACACCCCGCAGACAUAUACGGGGGAAAAUAUAACAUCUUUAUUUAUGCAGAUAUCGUUGAUUACCAGCUUGUGGGUGACGCCCACGCGAGGUUAUUAAGAGCUAUAAAUAUUACAGACGAUGACCGCCGCUUGCCUAUUCUACAAUUUGACAGCCCACACUACACACCUGUGUCAAAGACAUUAAUCGACGACAUAGAAAUUGAUUUGAAAGACGAUCGAAAUCAACACAUACCCUUUUUAUAUGGCAAAGUGUUUGUCAAGUUACACUUCC